rnacentral:rRNA from 1 species
UAUGGUCCAAGAGGGGAUAAAUUUUAUACUGUUGGUCUUGCAGCCACUUGCUGGGCAAUCUGGCUUGCUCGCAAUAAGGCUACCUUUGAGAAAAAGCAAAUUAAGUCUCUUUUCAAAAUUGUGUUCUCUAUAUGCUCUUUUCUUUUGUAUUGGACAGGACUGCAGAAGGGUGAUGACGCUGACAAGCUUCGCUCAGGUGCCGAGAUGAUCAGGGCCAGCACGAUGCAGCUGAUGAGACUUUGCGGGACUACUGCCCAGUCGAUUGGAGGAGCGUGA